AACGAACGCUGGCGGCAUGCCUAACACAUGCAAGUCGAACGAGACCUUCGGGUCUAGUGGCGCACGGGUGCGUAACGCGUGGGAACCUGCCCUUAGGUUCGGAAUAACUCCCCGAAAGGGGUGCUAAUACCGGAUAAUGUCUUCGGACCAAAGAUUUAUCGCCUUUGGAUGGGCCCGCGUUGGAUUAGCUAGUUGGUAGGGUAAAAGCCUACCAAGGCGACGAUCCAUAGCUGGUCUGAGAGGAUGAUCAGCCACACUGGGACUGAGACACGGCCCAGACUCCUACGGGAGGCAGCAGUGGGGAAUAUUGGACCAUGGGCGAAAGCCUGAUCCAGCGAUGCCGCGUGAGUGAUGAAGGCCUUAGGGUUGUAAAGCUCUUUUACCCGGGAUGAUAAUGACAGUACCGGGAGAAUAAGCUCCGGCUAACUCCGU
rnacentral:rRNA from 1 species